rnacentral:rRNA from 1 species
GAUGAACGCUGGCGGCGUGCCUAAUACAUGCAAGUCGAGCGAACAGACGAGGAGCUUGCUCCUCUGACGUUAGCGGCGGUCGGGUGAGUAACACGUGGAUAACCUACCUAUAAGACUGGGAUAACUUCGGGAAACCGGAGCUAAUACCGGAUAAUAUAUUGAACCGCAUGGUUCAAUAGUGAAAGACGGUUUUGCUGUCACUUAUAGAUGGAUCUGCGCCGCAUUAGCUAGUUGGUAAGGUAACGGCUUACCAAGGCAACGAUGCGUAGCCGACCUGAGAGGGUGAUCGGCCACACUGGAACUGAGACACGGUCCAGACUCCUACGGGAGGCAGCAGUAGGGAAUCUUCCGCAAUGGGCGAAAGCCUGACGGAGCAACGCCGCGUGAGUGAUGAAGGUCUUCGGAUCGUAAAACUCUGUUAUUAGGGAAGAACAAAUGUGUAAGUAACUAUGCACGUCUUGACGGUACCUAAUCAGAAAGCCACGGCUAACUACGUG